UAAAGGUAUUCCGGUAGACGAUGGGGAUGCGUUCCAUUAGAUAGUAGGCGGGGUAACGGCCCACCUAGUCUUCGAUGGAUAGGGGUUCUGAGAGGAAGGUCCCCCACAUUGGAACUGAGACACGGUCCAAACUCCUACGGGAGGCAGCAGUGAGGAAUAUUGGUCAAUGGGCGAGAGCCUGAACCAGCCAAGUAGCGUGAAGGAUGACUGCCCUAUGGGUUGUAAACUUCUUUUAUAAAGGAAUAAAGUCGGGUAUGGAUACCCGUUUGCAUGUACUUUAUGAAUAAGGAUCGGCUAACUCCGUGCCAGCAGCCGCGGUAAUACGGAGGAUCCGAGCGUUAUCCGGAUUUAUUGGGUUUAAAGGGAGCGUAGAUGGAUGUUUAAGUCAGUUGUGAAAGUUUGCGGCUCAACCGUAAAAUUGCAGUUGAUACUGGAUAUCUUGAGUGCAGUUGAGGCAGGCGGAAUUCGUGGUGUAGCGGUGAAAUGCUUAGAUAUCACGAAGAACUCCGAUUGCGAAGGCAGCCUGCUAAGCUGCAACUGACAUUGAGGCUCGAAAGUGUGGGUAUCAAACAGGAUUAGAUACCCUGGUAGUCCACA
rnacentral:rRNA from 1 species